GACGAACCGUGCGAACGUUGUUCGGAAUCACUGGGCUUAAAGGGCGCGUAGGCGGGCUAUCAAGUCCGGAGUGAAAUCCUCCCGCUCAACGGGAGAACGGCCUCGGAUACUGAUGGUCUCGAGGGGGAUAGGGGCACGCGGAACUGUGGGUGGAGCGGUGAAAUGCGUUGAUAUCCAUAGGAACUCCGGUGGCGAAAGCGGCGUGCUGGAUCCCCUUCUGACGCUGAGGCGCGAAAGCCAGGGGAGCAAACGGG
rnacentral:rRNA from 1 species